GAUAGCUCAGCCAUUAGAGCAUGAGACUCUUAAAUCUCAGGGUCGUGGGUUUGAGCCCCACAUCGGGCAAAACA